UAUGUGAUCGUCUCUCGCAUAUCAAUAAGCGGAGGAAAAGAAACUAACAAGGAUUCCCCUAGUAACGGCGAGUGAAGCGGGAAGAGCUCAAAUUUGAAAUCUUAAAGGGUUUCCCUUUACGAAUUGUAGUUUAAAGAAGUGUUUUCUGUUGAGGUUUUGGUAAAAGUUCUUUGGAAUAGGACAUCAUAGAGGGUGAGAAUCCCGUAUUUGACCUUUACUUUCAACUUUGUGAUACACUUUCAAAGAGUCGGAUUGUUCGGGAAUGCAGUCCAAAAUGGGUGGUGAAAUUUCAUCUAAAGCUAAAUAUUGGCGAGAGACCGAUAGCGAACAAGUACCGUGAGGGAAAGAUGAAAAGAACUUUGAAAAGAGAGUUAAACAGUACGUGAAAUUGUCAAAAGGGAAGCGUUUGACACCAGUGUUGUUUUUCUGAAAAUCAAUUAAAGAACUGUUUAUGCUAAGUUGUUUAGACUUUAUCAGCUAUCUGCUUAGUUUUGAGCUUUUCUUUAAUGCACUUUUCAGUUAACAAGUCAACAUCAAUUUCUUUUGCUGUAAAAAAGCUUGAGGAAGGUGGCUUGAGAUUCGUCUUAAGUGUUUAUAGCCUCUUGCCUAUGCAGUCGGAGAGAUUGAGGUCUGCAGCGUAGAUCCUUCGGGGCUAAAUGCAUUUGUGCUAAGUUAUAGCAUUUUAUAGACAACCUGUUGACUAUGAUUUGUCUUGUAGCUUACUCGCUUAUGUUAUUUUACCUACGCUUAGGAUGUUGAACGCGCACAGAGUCUC
rnacentral:rRNA from 1 species